rnacentral:rRNA from 1 species
CCUACGGGCGGCAGCAGUGAGGAAUAUUGGUCAAUGGGCGCGAGCCUGAACCAGCCAAGUAGCGUGAAGGAUGACUGCCCUACGGGUUGUAAACUUCUUUUAUAAGGGAAUAAAGUGAGGCACGUGUGCUUUUUUGUAUGUACUUUAUGAAUAAGGAUCGGCUAACUCCGUGCCAGCAGCCGCGGUAAUACGGAGGAUCCGAGCGUUAUCCGGAUUUAUUGGGUUUAAAGGGAGCGUAGAUGGGUUGUUAAGUCAGUUGUGACAGUCUGCGGCUCAACCGUAAAAUUGCAAUUGAUACUGGCAGACUUGAGUACAGUUGAGGUAUGCGGAAUUCGUGGUGUAGCGGUGAAAUGCUUAGAUAUCACGAAGAACUCCGAUUGCGAAGGCAGCCUACGAAACUGCUACUGACACUGAUGCUCGAAAGUGUGGGUAUCAAACAGGAUUAGAUACCCUGGUAGUC